rnacentral:rRNA from 1 species
GAGGCGUUGAGCUAACCUGUACUAAUGACUCGUGAGGCUUAACCAUACAACCCAGAUGGGUUU